GCUGGCAGCUAGCUCUCUUCAACUCUCACAUAUUUGCCCACUGAAGGUAAGAAGGGCUGCAUCCGUUCAGUACCUGGAUGGUAAACCACAUGGGAAAGCUUGGUUGCUGCCUGGA
rnacentral:rRNA from 1 species